rnacentral:rRNA from 1 species
GAUGAACGCUGGCGGCGUGCUUAACACAUGCAAGUCGAACGGAAAGGCUCCUGCUUGCAGGGGUACUCGAGUGGCGAACGGGUGAGUAACACGUGGGUGAUCUGCCCUGCACUUCGGGAUAAGCCUGGGAAACUGGGUCUAAUACCGGAUAGGACGAUGGUUUGGAUGCCAUUGUGGAAAGUUUUUCGGUGUGGGAUGAGCUCGCGGCCUAUCAGCUUGUUGGUGGGGUAAUGGCCUACCAAGGCGUCGACGGGUAGCCGGCCUGAGAGGGUGUACGGCCACAUUGGGACUGAGAUACGGCCCAGACUCCUACGGGAGGCAGCAGUGGGGAAUAUUGCACAAUGGGCGCAAGCCUGAGGCAGCGACGCCGCGUGGGGGAUGACGGCCUUCGGGUUGUAAACUCCUUUCGCUAGGGACGAAGCGCAAGUGACGGUACCUGGAGAAGAAGCACCGGCUAACUACGU